rnacentral:rRNA from 1 species
AACCCCGUAGUCGAAACUUCGUUCUCUCUUGAAUGUAUCCUGAGUACGGCGGAACACGUGAAAUUCCGUCGGAAUCUGGGAGGACCAUCUCCCAAGGCUAAAUACUCCCUAGUGAUCGAUAGUGAACCAGUACCGUGAGGGAAAGGUGAAAAGCACCCCGGAAGGGGAGUGAAAGAGAUCCUGAAACCGUGUGCCUACAAAUAGUCAGAGCCCGUUAAUGGGUGAUGGCGUGCCUUUUGUAGAAUGAACCGGCGAGUUACGAUCCCGUGCGAGGUUAAGCUGAAGAGGCGGAGCCGCAGCGAAAGCGAGUCUGAAUAGGGCGUUUAGUACGUGGUCGUAGACCCGAAACCAGGUGAUCUACCCAUGUCCAGGGUGAAGUUCAGGUAACACUGAAUGGAGGCCCGAACCCACGCACGUUGAAAAGUGCGGGGAUGAGGUGUGGGUAGCGGAGAAAUUCCAAUCGAACCUGGAGAUAGCUGGUUCUCCCCGAAAUAGCUUUAGGGCUAGCCUUAAGUGUAAGAGUCUUGGAGGUAGAGCACUGAUUGAACUAGGGGUCCUCAUCGGAUUACCGAAUUCAGUCAAACUCCGAAUGCCAAUGACUUAUCCUUAGGAGUCAGACUGCGAGUGAUAAGAUCCGUAGUCAAGAGGGAAACAGCCCAGAUCGCCAGCUAAGGUCCCAAAGUGUGUAUUAAGUGGAAAAGGAUGUGGAGUUGCUUAGACAACUAGGAUGUUGGCUCAGAAGCAGCCACCAUUUAAAGAGUGCGUAAUAGCUCACUAGUCGAGUGACUCUGCGCCGAAAAUGUACCGGGGCUAAAUACACCACCGAAGCUGCGAAUUGAUACCAAUGGUAUCAGUGGUAGGGGAGCGUUCUAAGUGCAGUGAAGUCAGACCGGAAGGACUGGUGGAGCGCUUAGAAGUGAGAAUGCCGGUAUGAGUAGCGAAAGACGGGUGAGAAUCCCGUCCACCGAAUGCCUAAGGUUUCCUGAGGAAGGCUCGUCCGCUCAGGGUUAGUCAGGACCUAAGCCGAGGCCGACAGGCGUAGGCGAUGGACAACAGGUUGAUAUUCCUGUACCACCUCUUUAUCGUUUGAGCAAUGGAGGGACGCAGAAGGAUAGAAGAAGCGUGCGAUUGGUUGUGCACGUCCAAGCAGUUAGGCUGAUAAGUAGGCAAAUCCGCUUAUCGUGAAGGCUGAGCUGUGAUGGGGAAGCUCCUUAUGGAGCGAAGUCUUUGAUUCCCCGCUGCCAAGAAAAGCUUCUAGCGAGAUAAAAGGUGCCUGUACCGCAAACCGACACAGGUAGGCGAGGAGAGAAUCCUAAGGUGUGCGAGAGAACUCUGGUUAAGGAACUCGGCAAAAUGACCCCGUAACUUCGGGAGAAGGGGUGCUUUCUUAACGGAAAGCCGCAGUGAAUAGGCCCAAGCGACUGUUUAGCAAAAACACAGGUCUCUGCGAAGCCGUAAGGCGAAGUAUAGGGGCUGACACCUGCCCGGUGCUGGAAGGUUAAGGAGAGGGGUUAGCGUAAGCGAAGCUCUGAACUGAAGCCCCAGUAAACGGCGGCCGUAACUAUAACGGUCCUAAGGUAGCGAAAUUCCUUGUCGGGUAAGUUCCGACCCGCACGAAAGGUGUAACGAUUUGGGCACUGUCUCAACCAGAGACUCGGUGAAAUUAUAGUACCUGUGAAGAUGCAGGUUACCCGCGACAGGACGGAAAGACCCCGUGGAGCUUUACUGUAGCCUGAUAUUGAAUUUUGGUACAGUUUGUACAGGAUAGGCGGGAGCCAUUGAAACCGGAGCGCUAGCUUCGGUGGAGGCGCUGG